rnacentral:lncRNA from 1 species
UAAAGAGUUAAUGGCACCAGACGUCCCCAAACUUUGAAAUAUUUUAAUUACAUCCUAAAGCUAUCGAUGUUACAUUUAUCAGGUCAUUCUAUUUCUAAAACCGUUAUUUUAACCUUUAAAUGACACAAAAAAAUCUUAUAUAACAUAAUUUAAAAAUGAAAAUUUAAAAAAAAAGGAAAAUGUUGUCACAUAGCCUCAAACCAAAGAUUUUUACAACACCCAUUUUUAAAAUAUUCAUCUUUAAAUUAUGUCACAUAAAAUCCGACAUCUCAUUUAACAAUUUUAGUAACGGAAGGACCUUAUUGACAUAUUACCAAUAGUUUAAGGAUAAAAUUAGAAUAUUUUGAAUUUUAUAAAAUUAAAUGAAUAUGUCACAUGCACACAAUUUUUUGUUUUUUUUUUCCUUGAGUAAAACUUAAUUUAACUUAAAUAUUUUUAUUCUAAUAAAAUAGUAAUAAUAGAAUGGUUUAAUAACUUAUUUUUUUCUCUCUUUUUUGAGGCUUCUAAAUUGAACCGUUUCUUAUUUUGGGGAAGCUGCAACCUUAUCAGCUAAGGCAGAAGUUGUCCCAUCCACACUCCCGGAAUCAUCUCCCACAGAGCUUUUAAACCUUUCAGCCAGUUUAGCCACCCCCGACUGAAACUCAGGGUCUGUUACUAUUUUUUUCAAUUGUUCCCCUUGUACUCCGCCUUCAUGCAAUGCAGCAAUAAAGCCGGACAUAACUGAAGCCGUAAAUACCCUCAUGGAUUCUGGGGAUGCUGCAACCUCAUCAGCUAAGGCAGAAGUUGUCCCGUCCACACUCCCGGAAUAAUCUCCAACAGAGCUUUUAAACAUUUCAUCGAGUUUACCCAUCCUCGACUUAAAGGUAGGGUCUGCUAUUAUUUUGUUGAAUUGCUCCCCAAAGUCGGACAUAGCAAGUUCUGGGGAUGCCGCCUCAUCCUCCUUUUUUCCUACUGCAAAUUGGAUUGAGAGCAUCAAAGCCAAUGAGAAUACAACGAAAGAAACCUUCGCCAUGUUUUUUUUUUGUUUUUUUUUUUAAAAUUUUAAGAAAAAAAAGUAAGAUAUAUUUUUAUCGAUGGAACUGAGACCAAUUUUAAAGAGUUUAAAAUGAGAUUUUUUUUGCCAAAUUUAGGGGCGGUUGAAUGGUCUGGUGCUUAAUAGCCAUACACCAUUAACAGCCAAAGUAUGUAAUUUUUCUUUAUUUUGACUCUUUUCUCUUUCUUCCCCCUUUUAUUGUUUCCCGAAAUAGGGUUUAUUUUAAUCAAGUUUCAAUGUUCUUCAGAUGGGAAGAAAUGGGACUUCAAGAUUAGGGAUUAAAACUUAAAAGGAAGAAGAUAAAUAGGGUAAAUAGGUAAUGAGUAUUUUGUGUAUAUUUCCAUUCAAUACAACUUUAAUCAUGGGCGAAGCCAGAACAAUUAUUUAGGGGGCGAAUGAAAUUUUAAUUUUUUUAUAGUCUAUAUCUUUAUAAUUUUUAAGGGAUCAAAUUGAAUUUUUAUAAUUUCAGGAGGGGCCAAAGUGUAAUUUUAUAAUUUUGUAAUUUUUUUAAAGGCCUAAAUAAUAAUUUUUCAUUUUAGGGGGGCUAGGGCCCUGCCAGCCCCCUAGCUGCGCCUCUGACUUUAAUCACCAUUUAAAAAUCUAAUUUUGACAAUUCAUAAAUGAGUCUUACAUAUUUAAACAUCGAUAAUUAAUGUAUUGAGAAGCGAUGGAUGAAAAAGUACCGAUAGACGUUGGAAAAAAUUAAUAAUGCAUAAUAUGAAUUAUACUUAAUGUUAAUAUAACAUUUAUUUUUAAUUAUCCUAAAUUCAAGGUAAAAGAUAUGAUUUAAUGCUUUUCUUAAUUAGUGUAUCAAAUUCGGAAAUAAUUUUUCAAAAAAAUAUUGGCCAAAAAACUUUACAAAAGUUAGAUCUUACAAUUUUUAGAAAGAAAAUUUUAGCUUUGAAUAAAACCGUGGUUAAUGCCACUCUUUACAAUAUUGAAAAAAAAUUUAUUAAACCUAAGCUUAGAACAUUAAGCGAACAUCAGAUCUAAUGUGUAUUAUCGUCCGUCACCAGUGACAGUUUAAUUUCAUAUUCAAGCGUACCUCUCACAUAUUAUAGUGGACCUUCCAGAAUAAUCAAUCGUUCAAUUACAUCUUCAUCUGUCUGAGUUAUGCAGCCAGUAAUUUUAUUGACAUUCCGUUGAAUGUAUAUCAAUUUUUAAUAAUAAUAUAUAAAUGAAACAUAGUUAUAUGGUUCUAAUAAAAACAACCCGGAUCAAUAUAAGAAAAGGCUACAGACACACCAAAAGGGGCAAGGAUCGACUCUGCUUUUUGGAACAGGACGUCAUUCUCCGCUCCAAAUUGGCCUCCGUUGAUACAUAGUAUCAACAAACACAAUACGAUCUUUGUUUGUGGAGUUAAAAAUGAAUAAAACUAAAUUGCAUAUAUAAUUCUUAAAAGGAAAGAAAAAAGUAAAAGUAAAAUUGAGCACAUUACUUAGAAUCCGUAUGUUUCUAGCAGAGACGAGUCCUCCAUGAGGGAUGAAAUUGAAAAGUAAGAAUAAAGCCCACAGGAAGCAGCAAAGGAUGAGAGAAAAUGAAGCUUUCAUAAUUCCCAUCAUAAUAAUAUGUUUUCUUUUCUCAAGGAAACUAUUUUAUUAUACCAUCAUAUAAAUUUUUUCAUAUGAAUGAGGGUCUUCUUCUUCUUUCAUAACAAUGACAGUGAAGCUUGAAAUUUGGUUAAGUUGGGUGUUGUUGGGUGAAACUGGUGUGGUGAUCCAAACAUACCACAACUUAGGAUUAUUAUUCCCCCACCCUAUUCGUAUUAAAAUCGUAAGUAUUCUUUUUUUUGUCGAUUUCAAACUCUGAUUAGCCUGUACUCAUAUGACGUGACAUACAAUUGAGAGAAAAUACUUACGGGACUAAAAUUUUUAAACUGAAAAGAAAAAGGAUUAAAUUUUUUAUUCUUUGAUUACAAUAUUGUUAUUUGUUUUAAAUUUCUUAUCAAAUGUCGGAAUAAAAAAAAAUGGGACCAAAGGUGUGUUCAUUUUCGAGUUUGGCUCUCAUCUGUAUAUAUUUUUAUCCAAUAUAGCUUUAAUCAUCGUUUAAAACUAUGGCUUUGACAAUUCAUAGAUUAGUACUACACAUUUGAAAAUCGAUGAAUAAAAAAGUAUCGAACAAGAUCCCGAAUCCAUGCUUUACAAAGUCAAAGUCAAGCUGUUAGAGGGAAAAAUGAAUAUGAUUUUCUUGUGGUGAUACAAGUCCCUUUGAAUAAUAGUAAAAAUAAAAAGGCCUAAUAUAUUUUUGGCAUAAUGUUAAAGUGAAUCUUUAAUGUUCAUGUUUUACAUAUUUAAACAUUGAUAAUUAACGUAUUGAAAAGCGAUGAAUGAAAAAGUAUCGAUACGGUUGAAAAAAAAUUAAGGGUAAACUACACCCAUGGUCACUUUUGUUUACUUUAAGUUACGUUUUAGUCACUUGUGUUUGAAAUGUUACGUUUUAGUCAUUUACGUUAUCAUGUUGUAACAUUUUAGUCACUGAGCCAUUAAUAGCCGUUAAUGGUGUAACGGUAAGCUGACGUGGCACGUUAAAUCAUCAUUUCAAACAAAAUUUUAGGUUAAAUUAUACAACUGAUCCCCAUAUUUUUUUCGUUUUAAGUAAUUUAAUUUUUUUCUUUUAUGUUCUUUAAACUUUUCUCUUUUUUUCCAUUCUCUUUUGUUUCUCCCUCUGUUUUCAUACCUUUCCCAUUUCAUGUAACAUAUUAGGAAGUCGAAUUGGCAAUGAAAAAAUAAGUAGGAAGUCGACUGUCAUCAUUUGCCUAUAACCAAAACCCAUAAACCCAUACCAUGCUUCUUUUUUCACUACCAAUUUGACUUCCUGGUAUGUUAAAAGAAAUAAAAAAGGCAGAAAAACAGAGGGAGAAGUAGAAGAGAAUGGAAAAAAAAAGAAAGAAAGUUAAAAGAACAUAAAAGAAUUAAAUUGCUCAAAACGAAAAAUUAUGGGGACCAAUUGUAUAAUUUAACCUAAAGUUUUUGUUUGAAAUGAUGAUUUGACAUGCCACGUCAGUUUACCAUUACAUCAUUAACGACAAUUAACGGCUCAGUGACUAAAAUGUUACAAUACGAUAACAUAAGUGACUGAAAUGUAACAUUUCAAAUAUAAGUGACUGAAAUGUAACCUAAGGUAAACAAAAGUGACCAUGGGUGUAGUUUACCCAAAAAUUAAUAAUACAUUAAAAUUAAAGCUAGAAUUGAAUUAUCUAAUUCUAUAUAAAAUUUAAAUUAUAAGGGCUUGAUGUGGUUGCAAAUAAGAUUUCUUUUUGUUUAUAUCUUGUGGUAUUAUAACAUUUAUUUCUAAUUAUCCUAAAUUCAAGGUGAAAGAUAUGAUUUAAUGCUUUUCUUAAUUAGUGUAUCAAAUUCCGCAAUGAUUUUUCUGGCCAAAAAAAACUUUAUACAAUUUUUAGAAAGAAAAUUUUAGCUUUGGAUAAAAUCGUGAUUCACCCCUGCAUGCUAGAGCGCUUUUAUAUGACAAGGCCACUCAUUGUUUCAUAUGUUUGUUUUUAAUGUUUAUUUUGUAGGUGGAGAUAACAAACUUUAAAUUAAAGAGUUAAUGGCACCAGACGUCCCCAAACUUUGAAAUAUUUUAAUUACAUCCUAAAGCUAUCGAUGUUACAUUUAUCAGGUCAUUCUAUUUCUAAAACCGUUAUUUUAACCUUUAAAUGACACAAAAAAAUCUUAUAUAACAUAAUUUAAAAAUGAAAAUUUAAAAAAAAAGGAAAAUGUUGUCACAUAGCCUCAAACCAAAGAUUUUUACAACACCCAUUUUUAAAAUAUUCAUCUUUAAAUUAUGUCACAUAAAAUCCGACAUCUCAUUUAACAAUUUUAGUAACGGAAGGACCUUAUUGACAUAUUACCAAUAGUUUAAGGAUAAAAUUAGAAUAUUUUGAAUUUUAUAAAAUUAAAUGAAUAUGUCACAUGCACACAAUUUUUUGUUUUUUUUUUCCUUGAGUAAAACUUAAUUUAACUUAAAUAUUUUUAUUCUAAUAAAAUAGUAAUAAUAGAAUGGUUUAAUAACUUAUUUUUUUCUCUCUUUUUUGAGGCUUCUAAAUUGAACCGUUUCUUAUUUUGGGGAAGCUGCAACCUUAUCAGCUAAGGCAGAAGUUGUCCCAUCCACACUCCCGGAAUCAUCUCCCACAGAGCUUUUAAACCUUUCAGCCAGUUUAGCCACCCCCGACUGAAACUCAGGGUCUGUUACUAUUUUUUUCAAUUGUUCCCCUUGUACUCCGCCUUCAUGCAAUGCAGCAAUAAAGCCGGACAUAACUGAAGCCGUAAAUACCCUCAUGGAUUCUGGGGAUGCUGCAACCUCAUCAGCUAAGGCAGAAGUUGUCCCGUCCACACUCCCGGAAUAAUCUCCAACAGAGCUUUUAAACAUUUCAUCGAGUUUACCCAUCCUCGACUUAAAGGUAGGGUCUGCUAUUAUUUUGUUGAAUUGCUCCCCAAAGUCGGACAUAGCAAGUUCUGGGGAUGCCGCCUCAUCCUCCUUUUUUCCUACUGCAAAUUGGAUUGAGAGCAUCAAAGCCAAUGAGAAUACAACGAAAGAAACCUUCGCCAUGUUUUUUUUUUGUUUUUUUUUUUAAAAUUUUAAGAAAAAAAAGUAAGAUAUAUUUUUAUCGAUGGAACUGAGACCAAUUUUAAAGAGUUUAAAAUGAGAUUUUUUUUGCCAAAUUUAGGGGCGGUUGAAUGGUCUGGUGCUUAAUAGCCAUACACCAUUAACAGCCAAAGUAUGUAAUUUUUCUUUAUUUUGACUCUUUUCUCUUUCUUCCCCCUUUUAUUGUUUCCCGAAAUAGGGUUUAUUUUAAUCAAGUUUCAAUGUUCUUCAGAUGGGAAGAAAUGGGACUUCAAGAUUAGGGAUUAAAACUUAAAAGGAAGAAGAUAAAUAGGGUAAAUAGGUAAUGAGUAUUUUGUGUAUAUUUCCAUUCAAUACAACUUUAAUCAUGGGCGAAGCCAGAACAAUUAUUUAGGGGGCGAAUGAAAUUUUAAUUUUUUUAUAGUCUAUAUCUUUAUAAUUUUUAAGGGAUCAAAUUGAAUUUUUAUAAUUUCAGGAGGGGCCAAAGUGUAAUUUUAUAAUUUUGUAAUUUUUUUAAAGGCCUAAAUAAUAAUUUUUCAUUUUAGGGGGGCUAGGGCCCUGCCAGCCCCCUAGCUGCGCCUCUGACUUUAAUCACCAUUUAAAAAUCUAAUUUUGACAAUUCAUAAAUGAGUCUUACAUAUUUAAACAUCGAUAAUUAAUGUAUUGAGAAGCGAUGGAUGAAAAAGUACCGAUAGACGUUGGAAAAAAUUAAUAAUGCAUAAUAUGAAUUAUACUUAAUGUUAAUAUAACAUUUAUUUUUAAUUAUCCUAAAUUCAAGGUAAAAGAUAUGAUUUAAUGCUUUUCUUAAUUAGUGUAUCAAAUUCGGAAAUAAUUUUUCAAAAAAAUAUUGGCCAAAAAACUUUACAAAAGUUAGAUCUUACAAUUUUUAGAAAGAAAAUUUUAGCUUUGAAUAAAACCGUGGUUAAUGCCACUCUUUACAAUAUUGAAAAAAAAUUUAUUAAACCUAAGCUUAGAACAUUAAGCGAACAUCAGAUCUAAUGUGUAUUAUCGUCCGUCACCAGUGACAGUUUAAUUUCAUAUUCAAGCGUACCUCUCACAUAUUAUAGUGGACCUUCCAGAAUAAUCAAUCGUUCAAUUACAUCUUCAUCUGUCUGAGUUAUGCAGCCAGUAAUUUUAUUGACAUUCCGUUGAAUGUAUAUCAAUUUUUAAUAAUAAUAUAUAAAUGAAACAUAGUUAUAUGGUUCUAAUAAAAACAACCCGGAUCAAUAUAAGAAAAGGCUACAGACACACCAAAAGGGGCAAGGAUCGACUCUGCUUUUUGGAACAGGACGUCAUUCUCCGCUCCAAAUUGGCCUCCGUUGAUACAUAGUAUCAACAAACACAAUACGAUCUUUGUUUGUGGAGUUAAAAAUGAAUAAAACUAAAUUGCAUAUAUAAUUCUUAAAAGGAAAGAAAAAAGUAAAAGUAAAAUUGAGCACAUUACUUAGAAUCCGUAUGUUUCUAGCAGAGACGAGUCCUCCAUGAGGGAUGAAAUUGAAAAGUAAGAAUAAAGCCCACAGGAAGCAGCAAAGGAUGAGAGAAAAUGAAGCUUUCAUAAUUCCCAUCAUAAUAAUAUGUUUUCUUUUCUCAAGGAAACUAUUUUAUUAUACCAUCAUAUAAAUUUUUUCAUAUGAAUGAGGGUCUUCUUCUUCUUUCAUAACAAUGACAGUGAAGCUUGAAAUUUGGUUAAGUUGGGUGUUGUUGGGUGAAACUGGUGUGGUGAUCCAAACAUACCACAACUUAGGAUUAUUAUUCCCCCACCCUAUUCGUAUUAAAAUCGUAAGUAUUCUUUUUUUUGUCGAUUUCAAACUCUGAUUAGCCUGUACUCAUAUGACGUGACAUACAAUUGAGAGAAAAUACUUACGGGACUAAAAUUUUUAAACUGAAAAGAAAAAGGAUUAAAUUUUUUAUUCUUUGAUUACAAUAUUGUUAUUUGUUUUAAAUUUCUUAUCAAAUGUCGGAAUAAAAAAAAAUGGGACCAAAGGUGUGUUCAUUUUCGAGUUUGGCUCUCAUCUGUAUAUAUUUUUAUCCAAUAUAGCUUUAAUCAUCGUUUAAAACUAUGGCUUUGACAAUUCAUAGAUUAGUACUACACAUUUGAAAAUCGAUGAAUAAAAAAGUAUCGAACAAGAUCCCGAAUCCAUGCUUUACAAAGUCAAAGUCAAGCUGUUAGAGGGAAAAAUGAAUAUGAUUUUCUUGUGGUGAUACAAGUCCCUUUGAAUAAUAGUAAAAAUAAAAAGGCCUAAUAUAUUUUUGGCAUAAUGUUAAAGUGAAUCUUUAAUGUUCAUGUUUUACAUAUUUAAACAUUGAUAAUUAACGUAUUGAAAAGCGAUGAAUGAAAAAGUAUCGAUACGGUUGAAAAAAAAUUAAGGGUAAACUACACCCAUGGUCACUUUUGUUUACUUUAAGUUACGUUUUAGUCACUUGUGUUUGAAAUGUUACGUUUUAGUCAUUUACGUUAUCAUGUUGUAACAUUUUAGUCACUGAGCCAUUAAUAGCCGUUAAUGGUGUAACGGUAAGCUGACGUGGCACGUUAAAUCAUCAUUUCAAACAAAAUUUUAGGUUAAAUUAUACAACUGAUCCCCAUAUUUUUUUCGUUUUAAGUAAUUUAAUUUUUUUCUUUUAUGUUCUUUAAACUUUUCUCUUUUUUUCCAUUCUCUUUUGUUUCUCCCUCUGUUUUCAUACCUUUCCCAUUUCAUGUAACAUAUUAGGAAGUCGAAUUGGCAAUGAAAAAAUAAGUAGGAAGUCGACUGUCAUCAUUUGCCUAUAACCAAAACCCAUAAACCCAUACCAUGCUUCUUUUUUCACUACCAAUUUGACUUCCUGGUAUGUUAAAAGAAAUAAAAAAGGCAGAAAAACAGAGGGAGAAGUAGAAGAGAAUGGAAAAAAAAAGAAAGAAAGUUAAAAGAACAUAAAAGAAUUAAAUUGCUCAAAACGAAAAAUUAUGGGGACCAAUUGUAUAAUUUAACCUAAAGUUUUUGUUUGAAAUGAUGAUUUGACAUGCCACGUCAGUUUACCAUUACAUCAUUAACGACAAUUAACGGCUCAGUGACUAAAAUGUUACAAUACGAUAACAUAAGUGACUGAAAUGUAACAUUUCAAAUAUAAGUGACUGAAAUGUAACCUAAGGUAAACAAAAGUGACCAUGGGUGUAGUUUACCCAAAAAUUAAUAAUACAUUAAAAUUAAAGCUAGAAUUGAAUUAUCUAAUUCUAUAUAAAAUUUAAAUUAUAAGGGCUUGAUGUGGUUGCAAAUAAGAUUUCUUUUUGUUUAUAUCUUGUGGUAUUAUAACAUUUAUUUCUAAUUAUCCUAAAUUCAAGGUGAAAGAUAUGAUUUAAUGCUUUUCUUAAUUAGUGUAUCAAAUUCCGCAAUGAUUUUUCUGGCCAAAAAAAACUUUAUACAAUUUUUAGAAAGAAAAUUUUAGCUUUGGAUAAAAUCGUGAUUCACCCCUGCAUGCUAGAGCGCUUUUAUAUGACAAGGCCACUCAUUGUUUCAUAUGUUUGUUUUUAAUGUUUAUUUUGUAGGUGGAGAUAACAAACUUUAAAUUAAAGAGUUAAUGGCACCAGACGUCCCCAAACUUUGAAAUAUUUUAAUUACAUCCUAAAGCUAUCGAUGUUACAUUUAUCAGGUCAUUCUAUUUCUAAAACCGUUAUUUUAACCUUUAAAUGACACAAAAAAAUCUUAUAUAACAUAAUUUAAAAAUGAAAAUUUAAAAAAAAAGGAAAAUGUUGUCACAUAGCCUCAAACCAAAGAUUUUUACAACACCCAUUUUUAAAAUAUUCAUCUUUAAAUUAUGUCACAUAAAAUCCGACAUCUCAUUUAACAAUUUUAGUAACGGAAGGACCUUAUUGACAUAUUACCAAUAGUUUAAGGAUAAAAUUAGAAUAUUUUGAAUUUUAUAAAAUUAAAUGAAUAUGUCACAUGCACACAAUUUUUUGUUUUUUUUUUCCUUGAGUAAAACUUAAUUUAACUUAAAUAUUUUUAUUCUAAUAAAAUAGUAAUAAUAGAAUGGUUUAAUAACUUAUUUUUUUCUCUCUUUUUUGAGGCUUCUAAAUUGAACCGUUUCUUAUUUUGGGGAAGCUGCAACCUUAUCAGCUAAGGCAGAAGUUGUCCCAUCCACACUCCCGGAAUCAUCUCCCACAGAGCUUUUAAACCUUUCAGCCAGUUUAGCCACCCCCGACUGAAACUCAGGGUCUGUUACUAUUUUUUUCAAUUGUUCCCCUUGUACUCCGCCUUCAUGCAAUGCAGCAAUAAAGCCGGACAUAACUGAAGCCGUAAAUACCCUCAUGGAUUCUGGGGAUGCUGCAACCUCAUCAGCUAAGGCAGAAGUUGUCCCGUCCACACUCCCGGAAUAAUCUCCAACAGAGCUUUUAAACAUUUCAUCGAGUUUACCCAUCCUCGACUUAAAGGUAGGGUCUGCUAUUAUUUUGUUGAAUUGCUCCCCAAAGUCGGACAUAGCAAGUUCUGGGGAUGCCGCCUCAUCCUCCUUUUUUCCUACUGCAAAUUGGAUUGAGAGCAUCAAAGCCAAUGAGAAUACAACGAAAGAAACCUUCGCCAUGUUUUUUUUUUGUUUUUUUUUUAAAAAUUUUAAGAAAAAAAAGUAAGAUAUAUUUUUAUCGAUGGAACUGAGACCAAUUUUAAAGAGUUUAAAAUGAGAUUUUUUUUGCCAAAUUUAGGGGCGGUUGAAUGGUCUGGUGCUUAAUAGCCAUACACCAUUAACAGCCAAAGUAUGUAAUUUUUCUUUAUUUUGACUCUUUUCUCUUUCUUCCCCCUUUUAUUGUUUCCCGAAAUAGGGUUUAUUUUAAUCAAGUUUCAAUGUUCUUCAGAUGGGAAGAAAUGGGACUUCAAGAUUAGGGAUUAAAACUUAAAAGGAAGAAGAUAAAUAGGGUAAAUAGGUAAUGAGUAUUUUGUGUAUAUUUCCAUUCAAUACAACUUUAAUCAUGGGCGAAGCCAGAACAAUUAUUUAGGGGGCGAAUGAAAUUUUAAUUUUUUUAUAGUCUAUAUCUUUAUAAUUUUUAAGGGAUCAAAUUGAAUUUUUAUAAUUUCAGGAGGGGCCAAAGUGUAAUUUUAUAAUUUUGUAAUUUUUUUAAAGGCCUAAAUAAUAAUUUUUCAUUUUAGGGGGGCUAGGGCCCUGCCAGCCCCCUAGCUGCGCCUCUGACUUUAAUCACCAUUUAAAAAUCUAAUUUUGACAAUUCAUAAAUGAGUCUUACAUAUUUAAACAUCGAUAAUUAAUGUAUUGAGAAGCGAUGGAUGAAAAAGUACCGAUAGACGUUGGAAAAAAUUAAUAAUGCAUAAUAUGAAUUAUACUUAAUGUUAAUAUAACAUUUAUUUUUAAUUAUCCUAAAUUCAAGGUAAAAGAUAUGAUUUAAUGCUUUUCUUAAUUAGUGUAUCAAAUUCGGAAAUAAUUUUUCAAAAAAAUAUUGGCCAAAAAACUUUACAAAAGUUAGAUCUUACAAUUUUUAGAAAGAAAAUUUUAGCUUUGAAUAAAACCGUGGUUAAUGCCACUCUUUACAAUAUUGAAAAAAAAUUUAUUAAACCUAAGCUUAGAACAUUAAGCGAACAUCAGAUCUAAUGUGUAUUAUCGUCCGUCACCAGUGACAGUUUAAUUUCAUAUUCAAGCGUACCUCUCACAUAUUAUAGUGGGCCUUCCAAAAUAAUCAAUCGUUCAAUUACAUCUUCAUCUGUCUGAGUUAUGCAGCCAGUAAUUUUAUUGACAUUCCGUUGAAUGUAUAUCAAUUUUUAAUAAUAAUAUAUAAAUGAAACAUAGUUAUAUGGUUCUAAUAAAAACAACUCGAAUCAAUAUAAGAAAAGGUUACAGACACACCAAAAGGGGCAAGGAUCGACUCUGCUUUUUGGAACAGGACGUCAUUCUCCGCUCCAAAUUGGCCUCCGUUGAUACAUAGUAUCAACAAACACAAUACGAUCUUUGUUUGUGGAGUUAAAAAUGAAUAAAGCUAAAUUGCAUAUAUAAUUCUUAAAAGGAAAGAAAAAGUAAAAGUAAAAUUGAGCACAUUACUUAGAAUCCGUAUGUUUCUAGCAGAGACGAGUCCUCCAUGAGGGAUGAAAUUGAAAAGUAAGAAUAAAGCCCACAGGAAGCAGCAAAGGAUGAGAGAAAAUGAAGCUUUCAUAAUUCCCAUCAUAAUAAUAUGUUUUCUUUUCUCAAGGAAACUAUUUUAUUAUACCAUCAUAUAAAUUUUUUCAUAUGAAUGAGGGUCUUCUUCUUCUUUCAUAACAAUGACAGUGAAGCUUGAAAUUUGGUUAAGUUGGGUGUUGUUGGGUGAAACUGGUGUGGUGAUCCAAACAUACCACAACUUAGGAUUAUUAUUCCCCCACCCCAUUCGUAUUAAAAUCGUAAGUAUUCUUUUUUUGUCAAUUUUAAACUCUGAUUAGCCUGUACUCAUAUGACGUGACAUACAAUUGAGAGAAAAUACUUACGGGACUAAAAUUUUUAAACUGAAAAGAAAAAGGAUUAAAUUUUUUAUUCUUUGAUUACAAUAUUGUUAUUUGUUUUAAAUUUCUUAUCAAAUGUUGGAAUAAAAAAAAAUUGGGACCAAAGGUGUGUUCAUUUUCGAGUUUGGCUCUCAUCUGUAUAUAUUUUUAUCCAAUAUAGCUUUAAUCAUCGUUUAAAACUAUGGCUUUGACAAUUCAUAGAUUAGUACUACACAUUUGAAAAUCGAUGAAUAAAAAAGUAUCGAACAAGAUCCCGAAUCCAUGCUUUACAAAGUCAAAGUCAAGCUGUUAGAGGGAAAAAUGAAUAUGAUUUUCUUGUGGUGAUACAAGUCCCUUUGAAUAAUAGUAAAAAUAAAAAGGCCUAAUAUAUUUUUGGCAUAAUGUUAAAGUGAAUCUUUAAUGUUCAUGUUUUACAUAUUUAAACAUUGAUAAUUAACGUAUUGAAAAGCGAUGAAUGAAAAAGUAUCGAUACGGUUGAAAAAAAAUUAAGGGUAAACUACACCCAUGGUCACUUUUGUUUACUUUAAGUUACGUUUUAGUCACUUGUGUUUGAAAUGUUACGUUUUAGUCAUUUACGUUAUCAUGUUGUAACAUUUUAGUCACUGAGCCAUUAAUAGCCGUUAAUGGUGUAACGGUAAGCUGACGUGGCACGUUAAAUCAUCAUUUCAAACAAAAUUUUAGGUUAAAUUAUACAACUGAUCCCCAUAUUUUUUUCGUUUUAAGUAAUUUAAUUUUUUUCUUUUAUGUUCUUUAAACUUUUCUCUUUUUUUCCAUUCUCUUUUGUUUCUCCCUCUGUUUUCAUACCUUUCCCAUUUCAUGUAACAUAUUAGGAAGUCGAAUUGGCAAUGAAAAAAUAAGUAGGAAGUCGACUGUCAUCAUUUGCCUAUAACCAAAACCCAUAAACCCAUACCAUGCUUCUUUUUUCACUACCAAUUUGACUUCCUGGUAUGUUAAAAGAAAUAAAAAAGGCAGAAAAACAGAGGGAGAAGUAGAAGAGAAUGGAAAAAAAAAGAAAGAAAGUUAAAAGAACAUAAAAGAAUUAAAUUGCUCAAAACGAAAAAUUAUGGGGACCAAUUGUAUAAUUUAACCUAAAGUUUUUGUUUGAAAUGAUGAUUUGACAUGCCACGUCAGUUUACCAUUACAUCAUUAACGACAAUUAACGGCUCAGUGACUAAAAUGUUACAAUACGAUAACAUAAGUGACUGAAAUGUAACAUUUCAAAUAUAAGUGACUGAAAUGUAACCUAAGGUAAACAAAAGUGACCAUGGGUGUAGUUUACCCAAAAAUUAAUAAUACAUUAAAAUUAAAGCUAGAAUUGAAUUAUCUAAUUCUAUAUAAAAUUUAAAUUAUAAGGGCUUGAUGUGGUUGCAAAUAAGAUUUCUUUUUGUUUAUAUCUUGUGGUAUUAUAACAUUUAUUUCUAAUUAUCCUAAAUUCAAGGUGAAAGAUAUGAUUUAAUGCUUUUCUUAAUUAGUGUAUCAAAUUCCGCAAUGAUUUUUCUGGCCAAAAAAAACUUUAUACAAUUUUUAGAAAGAAAAUUUUAGCUUUGGAUAAAAUCGUGAUUCACCCCUGCAUGCUAGAGCGCUUUUAUAUGACAAGGCCACUCAUUGUUUCAUAUGUUUGUUUUUAAUGUUUAUUUUGUAGGUGGAGAUAACAAACUUUAAAUUAAAGAGUUAAUGGCACCAGACGUCCCCAAACUUUGAAAUAUUUUAAUUACAUCCUAAAGCUAUCGAUGUUACAUUUAUCAGGUCAUUCUAUUUCUAAAACCGUUAUUUUAACCUUUAAAUGACACAAAAAAAUCUUAUAUAACAUAAUUUAAAAAUGAAAAUUUAAAAAAAAAGGAAAAUGUUGUCACAUAGCCUCAAACCAAAGAUUUUUACAACACCCAUUUUUAAAAUAUUCAUCUUUAAAUUAUGUCACAUAAAAUCCGACAUCUCAUUUAACAAUUUUAGUAACGGAAGGACCUUAUUGACAUAUUACCAAUAGUUUAAGGAUAAAAUUAGAAUAUUUUGAAUUUUAUAAAAUUAAAUGAAUAUGUCACAUGCACACAAUUUUUUGUUUUUUUUUUCCUUGAGUAAAACUUAAUUUAACUUAAAUAUUUUUAUUCUAAUAAAAUAGUAAUAAUAGAAUGGUUUAAUAACUUAUUUUUUUCUCUCUUUUUUGAGGCUUCUAAAUUGAACCGUUUCUUAUUUUGGGGAAGCUGCAACCUUAUCAGCUAAGGCAGAAGUUGUCCCAUCCACACUCCCGGAAUCAUCUCCCACAGAGCUUUUAAACCUUUCAGCCAGUUUAGCCACCCCCGACUGAAACUCAGGGUCUGUUACUAUUUUUUUCAAUUGUUCCCCUUGUACUCCGCCUUCAUGCAAUGCAGCAAUAAAGCCGGACAUAACUGAAGCCGUAAAUACCCUCAUGGAUUCUGGGGAUGCUGCAACCUCAUCAGCUAAGGCAGAAGUUGUCCCGUCCACACUCCCGGAAUAAUCUCCAACAAAGCUUUUAAACAUUUCAUCGAGUUUACCCAUCCUCGACUUAAAGGUAGGGUCUGCUAUUAUUUUGUUGAAUUGCUCCCCAAAGUCGGACAUAGCAAGUUCUGGGGAUGCCGCCUCAUCCUCCUUUUUUCCUACUGCAAAUUGGAUUGAGAGCAUCAAAGCCAAUGAGAAUACAACGAAAGAAACCUUCGCCAUGUUUUUUUUUUGUUUUUUUUUUAAAAAUUUUAAGAAAAAAAAGUAAGAUAUAUUUUUAUCGAUGGAACUGAGACCAAUUUUAAAGAGUUUAAAAUGAGAUUUUUUUUGCCAAAUUUAGGGGCGGUUGAAUGGUCUGGUGCUUAAUAGCCAUACACCAUUAACAGCCAAAGUAUGUAAUUUUUCUUUAUUUUGACUCUUUUCUCUUUCUUCCCCCUUUUAUUGUUUCCCGAAAUAGGGUUUAUUUUAAUCAAGUUUCAAUGUUCUUCAGAUGGGAAGAAAUGGGACUUCAAGAUUAGGGAUUAAAACUUAAAAGGAAGAAGAUAAAUAGGGUAAAUAGGUAAUGAGUAUUUUG